rnacentral:rRNA from 1 species
UACGUAGGGGUCGAGCGUUGUCCGGACUUACUGGGCGUAAAGCGUGGGUAGGUGGUCGGUGAUGUGCCGUGUGAAAGCCCCCGCGUUCAUCGGGGGGGAGGUCGCGGUAGACACAUCGACUUGAGGCAUACAGAGGGCCGUGGAAUUCCGCGUGUAGCAGUGAAAUGCGUAGAUAUUCGGAGGAACACCAGUGGCGAAGGCGCUCACUGGUCCAUUACUGACGCUGAGGUGCGAAAGCGUGGGGAGCAAACAGG